rnacentral:rRNA from 1 species
AGCGAACGCUGGCGGCAUGCCUAACACAUGCAAGUCGAACGAGACCUUCGGGUCUAGUGGCGCACGGGUGCGUAACGCGUGGGAACCUGCCUUUAGGUUCGGAAUAACGCCUCGAAAGGGGUGCUAAUACCGAAUAAUGUCUUCGGACCAAAGAUUUAUCGCCUUUAGAUGGGCCCGCGUUGGAUUAGCUAGUUGGUGGG